rnacentral:rRNA from 1 species
UACGAGAGCCUCGAGCGUUAUCCGGAAUUAUUGGGCGUAAAGGGUGCGUAGGUUGUUCUGUUAGUCUUUUGUCAAAUCCUCGGGCUCAACCUGAGGUUCGCAAAAGAUACGGCAGAACUUGAAAGUGCGAGAGGCGUACGGAACUCAUGGUGUAGGGGUGAAAUCCGUUGAUAUCAUGGGGAACACCAAAAGCGAAAGCAGUACGCUGGCGCAUGUUUGACACUGAAGCACGAAAGCGUGGGUAGCGAAUGGG